rnacentral:rRNA from 1 species
CGGGACGGGGUGAGUAAUGUCUGGGAAACGUGCCUGAUGGAGGGGGAUAACUACUGGAAACGGUAGCUAAUACCGCAUAACGUCGCAAGACCAAAGAGGGGGACCUUCGGGCCUCUUGCCAUCGGAUGUGCCCAGAUGGGAUUAGCUAGUAGGUGGGGUAACGGCUCACCUAGGCGACGAUCCCUAGCUGGUCUGAGAGGAUGACCAGCCACACUGGAACUGAGACACGGUCCAG